GAAAACGUCAUUCGAACGUCUCGUAAAAUGGCUUAUACGGGUCGGGGAAUGUUAGCGACGGUCACUCGGUGUAUACUGGCCUUGAACCGAUCACAAAUUCUGACAGGACGACUGACAUUGACAGGACAAAUUACAAUGAUGAGACAACUGACAUUGACAUUGAGAAAGAAAACAGAAAAGAAAGUAGUAACUGAUAUCACAUGUGCAAAUCAAAACUUAUAUCUUAUUAGUACAUAUUAGUUAAAAUCUUUACUGAAUUUGUAUCCUAAUCAUUACAUGCAGAAAAUCGAUUCCAUAAGACUGACACAGUGGACUUUACACGUGAAGAGGAUUAAAAUUUCUUAAAGCAUUCACACACCAACGCUGGGUUUGCUAAAGAAGAUCCGAAAACUCACAGAGGUCCAUAUCGUCAGCAACAAUAGGCGCUUCCCUGUUUAAUUUACUUCUCUAAUAAAUCUCCCUAAAGAAAUGUAAUUUUCGCAGUUCUACAAUCUGGUGGUCCUCCGUCACCACGAAAUUCUUCACCAGCAAAACAAAAAUCCUCUUCAUCUCCCCGCCCGCAGCUGCUGCGGUGCUCCACGAUUGUUCAUAAAAAUGGUUCUGCUCUCCGGCAAAAUUGUGGUAGAGACGAAGAUUUCUCCUCCCGACAUUUUGUUCUCGUCACUUGAUACCCAUGGAAGCUGGGGAAUCUAAUCCAAAAGAUGGAUGUGCCAAUCGAGGACCUCUUGCAGUCUUCCGGUUUUCCAGUUGGGAUAAACCAGCUUCAAAAACAGUAUACUGUUGUAUUACGCCGUGAAAUCCUCAUCGCCAUCGGCCACAAAACCGGAAGAGAGCGGAACUCCUUUUAUAAAUAUCCAAGGAGCAUCACAGCAGCCCCAGGCGAAGGAGAUGGUGGUUGCAAAAUGUUUCUCCGUGAUCUUUCCCUUUCACUAUCAUCAAACCAAAACGGCAUCCAAAAAAUAUGUAUUAAUAAAGUUGUGACUGCACAGGAACAGCUUCUCUUUCCUCUUGGUGAAGCUGCUGCUUGUGAUCAGAAUCAGAUGAAAAAAAAAACAUAUUUUGA